AACGAACGCUGGCGGCAGGCUUAACACAUGCAAGUCGAGCGCACCGCGAGGUGAGCGGCGGACGGGUUAGUAACGCGUGGGAACGUGCCCUUUUCUUCGGAAAAGCCUCGGGAAACUGUGGGCAAUACCGGAUACGCCCUUUGGGGAAAGAUUUAUCGGGGAAGGAUCGGCACGCGUCUGAUUAGGUAGUUGGUGGGGUAAAGGCCCACCAAGCCGACGAUCAGUAGCUGGUUUGAGAGGAUGAUCAGCAACACUGGGACUGAGACACGGCCCAGACUCCUACGGGAGGCAGCAGUGGGGAAUCUUAGACAAUGGGCGCAAGCCUGAUCUAGCCAUGCCGCGUGGAUGAAGAAGGCCUUAGGGUCGUAAAGUCCUUUCGCUGGGGAAGAUAAUGACGGUACCCAGUAAAGAAACCCCGGCUAACUCCGUGCCAGCCGCCGCCGUAA
rnacentral:rRNA from 1 species